rnacentral:rRNA from 1 species
GCCAGACUCCUACGGGAGGCAGCAGUGGGGGAUAUUGCACAAUGGGGGAAACCCUGAUGCAGCGACGCCGCGUGGGUGAAGAAGCGCCUCGGCGCGUAAAGCCCUGUCAGCAGGGAAGAAAAUGACGGUACCUGAAGAAGAAGCCACGGCUAACUACGUGCCAGCAGCCGCGGUAAUACGUAGGUGGCAAGCGUUGUCCGGAUUUACUGGGUGUAAAGGGCGUGUAGCCGGGUUGACAAGUCAGAUGUGAAAUCCUGCGGCUUAACCGCAGAACUGCAUUUGAAACUGUCGAUCUUGAGUACUGGAGAGGCAGACGGAAUUCCUAGUGUAGCGGUGAAAUGCGUAGAUAUUAGGAGGAACACCAGCGGCGAAGGCGGCCUGCUGGACAGCAACUGACGGUGAGGCGCGAAAGCGUGGGGAGCAAACAGGAUUAGAUACCCUAGUACC